UCUCGCUGGUUUUCCUGGAGUGCGCCAAUCGCCUCUGGACGUCUCCCGUAUCGCAGCACCAAAUGUCGUACUGUCGUGAAUUAGCGGCGUGGAUCCUAAAGCGGAGUGUGGUUGCCGCAGAGCACUGGCUGCCAUUGGAUAUAAUGCUCUUCGUAUGCGCGGCAGGCAUUUGCAUUGAUUAUACGAAUUAUAUGGCCGCCACCGCCGUAGCGGCGGUGGUCACGGUAUGGGAGGCAGUCAGAUGGGUAGUUCCAGUAGUUGAUCCGUCCGUGGUGCAACCGUGCUGUAAAGCCAACACUCGGAUGCCCACUUACAUCAUGAUAAUGUUGUAGCGGUGAACAGUGCUGUCAGUUUCUUCCUUUACUACGGUAUUUGGAUAUUUCUCAGCGCACUACCAGUGGUACUUCUAGCGUGGACGGCAGUUGUACUGGCCAUCACUCUAUGUGGCAGGUCGGCGGUGUUUCCUGGGUGCAUUCUCUUCGCAACAAUUUUGAGCGUUUACUGUGCUGGCAGAAUUUGGGGGUUGUGGAUGGAUGGCACCUAUUUUGCGCUGAUUAAAAAAGCAAUCAGCAAACUAAUUGCUACGAAAUCCGCCGCAAAACAGUUAUCGACAGAUCCUUCACGAAAGACGGUUACGAACGCAGACAAGGGCCAAAAACCAGGACACUGGGAAAACACAGCUCGUAGCUUGACAGCCUUCGCUCUUGGAUGCAUGGCCGUCUAUUACAACGUCUGUGCAUUGUUUUCGCGAUUUCCCGUUGUCAGCCAGUGGCAAAGUAACACCGGAAACGCCAACUGGACGUAUUGGUCGGUUGUCAAUUCGACCGGGACCUGCAGCAAAGAUGGAACUAACUUCUGUCAAGAAACGACGAUGUUGUCGUACUGGAUCGAUCUGCAGUCGGAGGAGCUGCACGCAGCAUCUGCUGCCAAUGUCACCAAUGCGGAGCACUGGCUAGCUUCACCCCGUCCUUCUCAGCCGCCGUUGGCUGGAUGUUUCUCGGGUGGUGUGGAGGAUUGACCGGGAUUAGUCGCGUACCGUUUUGCGCCUUCCGGUACCUGGAAAAGGUCGUCGUUGCCGGCAUCAUCCUGGUCAUAGGCGGACUGCUCGUUCGUGACUGUAUACGUUUCUGCUACAACAAAUGGCGUCGGCGUGGCGUAUUACAGCGAAGCAUGGACGCCGCCGACAGGGACAAAUCGUGGAGACCGUUAACUGCAGACCCGGCAAUGGAGGUCGAGACCGGAAAUGAUGUCACCAACGAGAAAAUUCCAGGAGUGAAAGCCAGACCCGGCGCGCACGUGAUCAUUGUGUGUGCAGCCAAAACUUCCACUCCGAAAAACGCAGACCCGACACUGCCGACAGCAUCCUUGUGUUUGUGCAACAGACUGCGUUAGUGUGUACAGUAUACGAGGGGCUAACUGGUAAGCCGUAUUUGGCUAUUCUUGCUGGCCGCCCAUUGCCCGUUAGUCGGCUUAUUGCUCUCCUAUUCCCUGGUGGGACUGUUCUUGCCCGAAUGCCCGGCCUCCUCCUGCUGCUGACUGUGUACACGGUUUGGAUGUACUUCUGGUUGAUGAAGUCGGCGCGGCAGAUGUGGCGAAUUGUGCGAUCCGGCAGAAAGAAGUACAGAAACUGUGACGAUGGAUUGGGAGACGGCUUUGUGGCGAACCCGCUCAAGCGUCCUGC